rnacentral:lncRNA from 1 species
AACCCAAAUCCCAAAAUGCGCCUUUUCCCAAAUUGUCGCCCCAAGGUCCUGGGCGGCGGGUUUUCCGGCUGCAGCGUUCCCCGGGGGAGUCACCCAUCCGAACUCCUUGCUCCUGUCGGAAUGCUCAGGCCCACAGCUGAGAUCUCCCCGAACCCGUGGGCCCCGAGGGUCAGCAGGGGCGCUGGAAACUGCAGCAGCUCAAAUGAUCUCCUCUGCUAUGAGCAAGCACCACAAUUUCCAGAGUUUCCAUAUGAACCAGAGGCUGAAUUUCCCUGCAUUACAGAGAAAAGGAGGCUUAGAAGUAGGAAGCAAUCUACAACCAUCGCAUGAAACCCAAGACUCUCUGUCGCCUCCAGACUCCAGUAUCCACAGCACACCACCAGGCCUGCCCUUUAGUGCACAAGUCUGCCUUCCUGAUGCUCCAGACCCGAACAGCCCCGUCAGCUCCACUGUCUCUGUAGGAAAGCCUCUAACCUCCUCAUCAGGCACACGACUGCAGCAGCUCUUGCUCAGGGCACCAGCCUGAGGCAGCCAACAGCUUUAAAGGGCCUUCCAGACGGAAGGAAGAGGGAAGAAGACGGCGGCCCCAGGAGAUUCAGCUUCAGGGGAAAAAAAAAUCAUGAGACCUAGAGAAGGGCCCAGGGAGAAGCAGAGGGGAGACUGUGCCCCUAAGAUUGUCACGUAGCUGGUUAUCUGUGAAGCCCGAAAUAGAACUCAGGAUUCCUGACUCCAGGCCAGGUGACUUGAACCCUGGCACUUCUCCCUUAAAGCAGGUACCUUGACCUACUUCUAGGAAGCCACAGGGAAAGAACAGCCUAUAAAAACAAUACCCAAGUAUAGGAGCGGUGAGUAUCCAAGAGCUGAGGAAUGCAUCUCCACAACACAGAAAACAGCUCAGGAGCCGGGUCAGUAGGACGUGCUCCUGGCAAGGUUCCUGGGUGCUGCCGUGGGCUGCAGGAGAGACGCAGGGGCCGCAGAGAGGCCGGCUGCCCUGAGACCAGGGCCUGAGCGUCUGAGGAGGAG